UACGGAGGGAGCAUGCGCUGUUCGGUCGAUUUACUGGGCGUAAAGGAUGCGUAGGCGGACAUUUAAGUCAGAUGUGAAAUACCCGGGCUCAACUUGGGUGCUGCAUUUGAAACUGGGUGUCUAGAGUGCAGGAGAGGAAAGCGGAAUUCCUAGUGUAGCGGUGAAAUGCGUAGAGAUUAGGAAGAACACCAGUGGCGAAGGCGGCUUUCUGGACUGUAACUGACGCUGAGGCAUGAAAGCGUGGGGAGCAAACAGG
rnacentral:rRNA from 1 species